rnacentral:lncRNA from 1 species
GACUUUCUCUGUGCUCAUCAGCCAAACUGCUGUGGCCAAAGGGAGGAGUCAUGCCUGCCGUGGACAGUCCUGGACCCUGCUCCGAGCAGCCGGAAUAACACAGGACUCUACCAGAGAAGACAAGAGAACAUCAAACUAGAAGGGACGUUCAGAGGGCUUCUGGAGGAUUCGAGCACCUCAGCAUGAUGCAGAAACCAGCAGCUGGAGGACGCAGAUGUGUCUGAGAGAGGGCGGACUCGAUCUGAGAAACGCGUGUUUUCAUCUGCAGCUGUGCUGUCAUGGAUCAGGGAAAACAUGCGGCGGAGGAGCAUUAUGUCUAAAUACUUGACCCCCAGGUACUGUGGACUUGGACUCCAAGAAGCAGACAGAGAAAACAUGAAUGCACUUACGGGGACACGUGUGAUGAAGGGACAAAGGACCGGGGACACACACACACGCGCUCACAGCACAGCUCGGACAUCCCUGCACGGGGAGGACUUCUAGAACCCCUUCCUGGUAAAGCAAGUGUGGAUAAAUCCGAAGACUCCAGAAUUGUUGCUG